CCCUCCGGGGCGCACCCGGCAGCUGAGCAAAUGGGGCAUGCAGUAGAACAUGAGCUCAACGACCUCAGCCUCGCCGGGGCACAAUUUGUGGUGGCUUUUGGCGAUCAGCCUGAAGCGAACAACAGGGACCGGAGCCGUACAGCAGAAUUUAAAGAAACAGGAUUAGAUGAGGUUGAAUUUCUAAUUGCGCCAAACCCGGGAGAGGGGUUAAAACCCUUGGUCAAGAUCGCUUCUGGCGGAGAGACAUCACGGUUAAUGCUGGCGCUAAAAAAUGUACUGGCAAAAGCAGAUUCCAUCCCCACGUUAAUUUUUGAUGAAAUAGAACAGGGAAUUGGCGGGAGAGC
rnacentral:rRNA from 1 species